rnacentral:rRNA from 1 species
UACGUAGGGGGCAAGCGUUGUCCGGAUUUAUUGGGCGUAAAGAGCGUGUAGGCGGCCAUACAGGUCAGCUGUGAAAACUCGAGGCUCAACCUCGAGACGUCGGUUGAAACCGUAUGGCUAGAGUCCGGAAGAGGAGAGUGGAAUUCCCGGUGUAGCGGUGAAAUGCGCAGAUAUCAGGAAGAACACCCGUGGCGAAGGCGGCUCUCUGGGACGGUACUGGACGCUGAGACGCGAAAGCGUGGGGAGCGAACAGG